UACGUAGGAUGCGAGCGUUGCCCGGAUUUACUGGGUGUAAAGGGAGUGUAGGCGGGUUGAUAAGUCAGAUGUGAAAUCCCUUAGCUUAACGGAGAAACUGCCGCUGAUACUGUCUGCCUAGAGUAUGGGAGAGGGAGGUAGAACUCAUGGUGUAGCGGUGAAAUGCGUAGAUAUCAUGAAGAACACCGGUGGCGAAGGCGGUUGCCUGGUCCAUUACUGACUCUGAUGCUAGAAAGUGAGGGGAGCAAACAGG
rnacentral:rRNA from 1 species